rnacentral:rRNA from 1 species
CACGUAGGGGGCAAGCGUUGUCCGGAUUCAUUGGGCGUAAAGAGCUCGUAGGCGGUUCGAUAAGUCGGGUGUGAAACCUCCAGGCUCGACCUGGAGACGCCACCCGAUACUGUCGUGACUAGAGUCCAGUAGGGGAGCGUGGAAUUCCUGGUGUAGACGGUGAAAUGCGCAGAUAUCAGGAGGAACACCAGCGGCGAAGGCGGCGCUCUGGGCUGGAACUGACGCUGAGGAGCGAAAGCGUGGGGAGCGAACAGG